GACGAACCGUGCGAACGUUUAUUCGGAAUCAUUGGGCUUAAAGGGCGCGUAGGCGGAUGACCGCGUCGAGUGCUGAAAUCCCCCGGCUUAACCGGGGAAUGGGCCUCGAAACGGGUCGUCUCGAGGCGAGGGAGAGGGACCUGGAACAUCCGGUGGAGCGGUGAAAUGCGUUGAGAUCGGAUGGAACACCAAUGGCGAAAGCAAGGUCCUGGACUCGUAUCUGACGCUGAGGCGCGAAAGCCAGGGGGAGCGAACGGG
rnacentral:rRNA from 1 species